rnacentral:rRNA from 1 species
AUUGAACGCUGGCGGCAGGCCUAACACAUGCAAGUCGAGCGGCUGAAGGGAGCUUGCUCCUGGUUUCAGCGGCCGACGGGUGCGUAAUCCCUAGGACUCUGCCUGGUAGUGGGGGAUACCGCUGGGCACAGGACGCUACUACCGCAUACGACCAGAGGGCGAAAGUGGGGGAUCUUCGAACCUAACGCUAUCAGAUGAGCCUAGGUCGGAUUAGCUAGUUGGUGGGGUAAAGGCCUACCAAGGCGACGAUCCGUAACUGGUCUGAGAGGAGGCUCAGUCACACGGGAACGGGGAGACGCUCCAGACCCCUGUGGGAGGCAGCAGUGGGGAAUAGUGAACCAUGGUCGAAGGUCUGCUCCAGCCAUGCCGAGUGUGUGAAGAGGGUCUUCGGAUUGUAAAGCACUUUAAGUUGGGAGGAAGGGGAGUAAGCUAGUACCUUGCUGUUUUGACGUCCCCAACAGAAUAAGCACCCGCUAACUUCGUG